rnacentral:rRNA from 1 species
UAGGGAAUCUUCCGCAAUGGGCGAAAGCUUGACGGAGCAACGCCGCGUGAGUGAUGAAGGUCUUCGGAUCGUAAAACCCUGUUAUUAGGGAAGAACAAAUGUGUAAGUAACUAUGCACGUCUUGACGGUACCUAAUCAGAAAGCCCCGGCUAACUACGUGCCAGCAGCCGCGGUAAUACGUAGGUGGCAAGCGUUAUCCGGAAUUAUUGGGCGUAAAGCGCGCGUAGGCGGUUUUUUAAGUCUGAUGUGAAAGCCCACGGCUCAACCGUGGAGGGUCAUUGGAAACUGGAAAUCUUGAGUGCAGAAGAGGAAAGUGGAAUUCCAUGUGUAGCGGUGAAAUGCGCAGAGAUAUGGAGGAACACCAGUGGCGAAGGCGACUUUCUGGUCUGUAACUGACGCUGAUGUGCGAAAGCGUGGGGAUCAAACGGG